CGAGAACGGUGACUACGUGGGCACGGCGGAGUGGAACGGCCCAGGCCAGGUCACGCUCGAGAUGGACGACCAGUCCCAGCGCACCUGGUUCGAGAA
rnacentral:misc_RNA from 1 species